rnacentral:rRNA from 1 species
GAUGAACGCUGGCGGCGUGCUUAACACAUGCAAGUCGAACGAUGAAGCCCAGCUUGCUGGGUGGAUUAGUGGCGAACGGGUGAGUAACACGUGAGUAACCUGCCCCCGACUCUGGGAUAAGCCCGGGAAACUGGGUCUAAUACCGGAUAUGACCUCGCACCGCAUGGUGCGGGGUGGAAAGAUUUAUCGGUGGGGGAUGGACUCGCGGCCUAUCAGCUUGUUGGUGAGGUAAUGGCUCACCAAGGCGACUACGGGUAGCCGGCCUGAGAGGGUGACCGGCCACACUGGGACUGAGACACGGCCCAGACUCCUACGGGAGGCAGCAGUGGGGAAUAUUGCACAAUGGGCGAAAGCCUGAUGCAGCGACGCCGCGUGAGGGAUGACGGCCUUCGGGUUGUAAACCUCUUUCAGUAGGGAAGAAGCGAAAGUGACGGUACCUGCAGAAGAAGCGCCGGCUAACUACGUGCCAGCAGCCGCAGUAA